CCAGACUCCUACGGGAGGCAGCAGUGGGGAAUAUUGGACAAUGGGGGAAACCCUGAUCCAGCGACGCCGCGUGAGUGAAGAAGUAUUUCGGUACGUAAAGCUCUAUCAGCAGGAAAGAAAAUGACGGUACCUGACUAAGAAGCCCCGGCUAACUACGUGCCAGCAGCCGCGGUAAUACGUAGGGGGCAAGCGUUAUCCGGAAUUACUGGGUGUAAAGGGAGCGUAGACGGUGAAGUAAGUCUGGAGUGAAAGGCGGGGGCCCAACCCCCGGACUGCUCUGGAAACUAUUUGACUGGAGUGCAGGAGAGGUAAGCGGAAUUCCUAGUGUAGCGGUGAAAUGCGUAGAUAUUAGGAGGAACACCAGUGGCGAAGGCGGCUUGCUGGACGACAACUGACGCUGAGGCUCGAAAGCGUGGGGAGCAAACAGGAUUAGAUACCCUCGUAC
rnacentral:rRNA from 1 species